GAUGAACGCUGGCGGCGUGCCUAAUACAUGCAAGUCGAGCGAACGGACGAGAAGCUUGCUUUUCUGAUGUUAGCGGCGGACGGGUGAGUAACACGUGGAUAACCUACCUAUAAGACUGGGAUAACUUCGGGAAGCCGGAGCUAAUACCGGAUAAUAUUUUGAACCGCAUGGUUCAAAAGUGAAAGACGGUCUUGCUGUCACUUAUAGAUGGAUCCGCGCUGCAUUAGCUAGUUGGUAAGGUAACGGCUUACCAAGGCAACGAUGCAUAGCCGACCUGAGAGGGUGAUCGGCCACACUGGAACUGAGACACGGUCCAUACUCCUACGGGAGGCAGCAGUAGGGAAUCUUCCGCAAUGGGCGAAAGCCUGACGGAGCAACGCCGCGUGAGUGAUGAAGGUCUUCGGAUCGUAAAACUCUGUUAUUAGGGAAGAACAUAUGUGUAAGUAACUGUGCACAUCUUGACGGUACCUAAUCAGAAAGCCACGGCUAACUACGUG
rnacentral:rRNA from 1 species